rnacentral:rRNA from 1 species
UACGUAGGUGGCAAGCGUUGUCUGGAAUUAUUGGGCGUAAAGCGCGCGCAGGCGGUUUCUUAAGUCUGAUGUGAAAGCCCCCGGCUCAACCGGGGAGGGUCAUUGGAAACUGGGAAACUUGAGUGCAGAAGAGGAAAGUGGAAUUCCAAGUGUAGCGGUGAAAUGCGUAGAGAUUUGGAGGAACACCAGUGGCGAAGGCGACUUUCUGGUCUGUAACUGACGCUGAGGCGCGAAAGCGUGGGGAGCAAACAGG